GCUGGUGGCUAUUGCGAAAUGGUCCCACCCGAUCCCAUCCCGAACUCGGUCGUGAAACGUUUCUACGCCAAUGGUACUUCAGCUCAAGCUGCGGAAGAGUAGGUAACUGCCAGCC
rnacentral:rRNA from 1 species